UGGACCGUGAGGAUUUAUUGAUGCAUAAUCCAACACUUGAUCCGAGGCCGGCUUGAGCCAUCCAUUGAUGUCAUCUUUUGCAUAUGAGUCCAU
rfam:Triticum aestivum genome assembly, contig: Triticum_aestivum_CS42_TGACv1_scaffold_528969_6DL